rnacentral:rRNA from 1 species
ACGGGUGAGUAACACGUAUCCAACCUGCCGUCUACUCUUGGACAGCCUUCUGAAAGGAAGAUUAAUACAAGAUGGCAUCAUGAGUCCGCAUGUUCACAUGAUUAAAGGUAUUCCGGUAGACGAUGGGAUGCGUUCCAUUAGAUAGUAGGCGGGGUAACGGCCCACCUAGUCUUCGAUGGAUAGGGGUUCUGAGAGGAAGGUCCCCCACAUUGGAACUGAGACACGGUCCAA